GGAAACAGGUGCUAAUACCGUAUAACACUAUUUUCCGCAUGGAAGAAAGUUGAAAGGCGCUUUUGCGUCACUGAUGGAUGGACCCGCGGUGCAUUAGCUAGUUGGUGAGGUAACGGCUCACCAAGGCCACGAUGCAUAGCCGACCUGAGAGGGUGAUCGGCCACACUGGGACUGAGACACGGCCCAGACUCCUACGGGAGGCAGCAGUAGGGAAUCUUCGGCAAUGGACGGAAGUCUGACCGAGCAACGCCGCGUGAGUGAAGAAGGUUUUCGGAUCGUAAAACUCUGUUGUUAGAGAAGAACAAGGAUGAGAGUAAAAUGUUCAUCCCUUGACGGUAUCUAACCAGAAAGCCACGGCUAACUACGUGCCAGCAGCCGCGGUAAUACGUAGGUGGCAAGCGUUGUCCGGAUUUAUUGGGCGUAAAGCGAGCGCAGGCGGUUUCUUAAGUCUGAUGUGAAAGCCCCCGGCUCAACCGGGGAGGGUCAUUGGAAACUGGGAGACUUGAGUGCAGAAGAGGAGAGUGGAAUUCCAUGUGUAGCGGUGAAAUGCGUAGAUAUAUGGAGGAACACCAGUGGCGAAGGCGGCUCUCUGGUCUGUAACUGACGCUGAGGCUCGAAAGCGUGGGGAGCGAACAGGAUUAGAUACCCUGGUAGUCCACGCCGUAAACGAU
rnacentral:rRNA from 1 species